rnacentral:rRNA from 1 species
UGAGGAAUAUUGGGCAAUGCCCGCAAGGGUGACCCAGCAACGCCGCGUGGAGGAUGAGUGUCGUAAGAUUGUAAACUCCUGUUAGAGGGGAAGAAUAGUACCGGUUGGACCGGUAUAUGACUGUACCCUCAGAGAAAGCCCCGGCUAACUACGUGCCAGCAGCCGCGGUAAUACGUAGGGGGCAAGCGUUGUCCGGAUUUACUGGGUGUAAAGGGCGCGCAGGCGGGAUAAAAAGUCAGUGGUGAAAUCCUACAGCUUAACUGUAGAACUGCCUUUGAUACUUUUAUUCUUGAGUUCGGGAGAGAGAGACGGAAUUCCAGGUGUAGUGGUGAAAUACGUAGAUAUCUGGAAGAACACCAGUUGCGAAGGCGGUCUCUUGGUCCGACACUGACGCUGAGGCGCGAAAGCGUGGGGAGCAAACA